UACGUAGGGUGCAAGCGUUAAUCGGAAUGACUGGGCGUAAAGGGUGUGUAGGCGGUCUUUUAAGUCUGAUGUGAAAUCCCCGGGCUCAACCUGGGAACUGCGUUGGAAACUGGAAGACUAGAGUACGUAAGAGGGGGGUGGAAUUCCACGUGUAGCAGUGAAAUGCGUAGAGAUGUGGAGGAACACCGAUGGCGAAGGCAACCCCCUGGGACGAUACUGACGCUGAGGCACGAAAGCGUGGGGAGCAAACAGG
rnacentral:rRNA from 1 species